GACGAACGCUGGCGGCGUGCCUAAUACAUGCAAGUCGAACGCUUCUUUCCUCCCGAGUGCUUGCACUCAAUUGGAAAGAGGAGUGGCGGACGGGUGAGUAACACGUGGGUAACCUACCCAUCAGAGGGGGAUAACACUUGGAAACAGGUGCUAAUACCGCAUAACAGUUUAUGCCGCAUGGCAUAAGAGUGAAAGGCGCUUUCGGGUGUCGCUGAUGGAUGGACCCGCGGUGCAUUAGCUAGUUGGUGAGGUAACGGCUCACCAAGGCCACGAUGCAUAGCCGACCUGAGAGGGUGAUCGGCCACACUGGGACUGAGGCACGGCCCAGACUCCUACGGGAGGCAGCAGUAGGGAAUCUUCGGCAAUGGACGAAAGUCUGACCGAGCAACGCCGCGUGAGUGAAGAAGGUGUUCGGAUCGUAAAACUCUGUUGUUAGAGAAGAACAAGGACGUUAGUAACUGAACGUCCCCUGACGGUAUCUAACCAGAAAGCCACGGCUAACUACGUG
rnacentral:rRNA from 1 species